UAGGAUCCAAUUAGCUUGAGAAAAACGUUCACUCUUGCUUAUGUGAAGCUUGGGUAAGGUUGAAAAUAGAUAAUUGGAGCUUGAAAUUGUGAAUACUGGAACUUGGAGGAAGCGGAUUAGUUGAGGUUUUGAGGGCUGUGUUCUUUUAGGAAAAUUUUCUUGGAAUAAUACUUGGGAAUCGACUAAGAUGCAGGUCGAGAGGCAUCUCGUUAGGCGUCUGGACUCUUGAGGCGUAGUGGUUAUUGGGAUAUUUUGUUAUGCUAUGAUGUAUAUAUAUGUACUUAGCUUUCUCUCCGCAUGACUUAUUCUUUUGAUCCUCCUAGAGGUUUAUGGAGAGACAGGAUUGUGUAUAUGUACUUUUGGGUUUUAGAUAUGUAUGUAUAUAUAUGUGUAAAUAUUUCUCCGGCCAGUCUUGACUUCGCAGGCUGAGUUAGGAGCUUGAUAUUUUGUAUCGUUGGCACUCUAUUCCCACUUCUGUUAUCUUAUGUUUGAUAGUUACGGAUUUCUUAGCACGCAAGUUAACUCGUUCCUUGAGCGUUGCGCUUUUAUCUCGCGAUUUUUAUUUCCCCUAUUCUUCAAGGCUCCUAGCAUAUUAUAAUUCUUCUGCUGUUAUAUGUAUUCAUUUUAUUUUAGAGGUCGUAAUACCACACCACCUCUGCUUUACGGCAUAAGCGUAAAGCUUAAUGUGGUAGGGUGUUACAUUAUGGUAUCAGAGCAGUUCGUUCCUAUAGAGCCUG